rnacentral:rRNA from 1 species
UACGGGGGGGGCAAGCGUUGUUCGGAAUUACUGGGCGUAAAGGGCUCGUAGGUGGCCAACUAAGUCAUACGUGAAAUCCCUCGGCUUAACCGGGGAACUGCGUCUGAUACUGGAUGGCUUGAGUUUGGGAGAGGGAUGCGGAAUUCCAGGUGUAGCGGUGAAGUGCGUAGAUAUCUGGAGGAACACCGGUGGCGAAGGCGGCAUCCUGGACCAACACUGACGCUGAGUGAGCGAAAGCCAGGGGAGCAAACGGG